UAUGUGAUCGUCUCUCGCAUAUCAAUAAGCGGAGGAAAAGAAACUAACAAGGAUUCCCCUAGUAACGGCGAGUGAAGCGGGAAGAGCUCAAAUUUGAAAUCUUAAAGGGUUUCCCUUUACGAAUUGUAGCUUUAAAGAAGUGUUUUCUGUUGAGGUUUUGGUAAAAGUUCUUUGGAAUAGGACAUCAUAGAGGGUGAGAAUCCCGUAUUUGACCUUUACUUUCAACUUUGUGAUACACUUUCAAAGAGUCGGAUUGUUUGGGAAUGCAGUCCAAAAUGGGUGGUAAAUUUCAUCUAAAGCUAAAUAUUGGCGAGAGACCGAUAGCGAACAAGUACCGUGAGGGAAAGAUGAAAAGAACUUUGAAAAGAGAGUUAAACAGUACGUGAAAUUGUCAAAAGGGAAGCGUUUGACACCAGUGUUGUUUUUCUGAAAAUCAAUUAAAGAACUGUUUAUGCUAAGUUGUUUAGACUUUAUCAGCUAACUGUUUAGUUUUGAGCUUUUCUUUAAUACACUUUUCAGUUAACAGGUCAACAUCAAUUUCUUUUGCUGUAAAAAAGCUUGAGGAAGGUGGCUUGAGAUUCGUCUUAAGUGUUUAUAGCCUCUUGCCUAUGCAGUCGGAGAGAUUGAGGUCUGCAGCGUAGAUCCUUCGGGGCUAAAUGCAUUUGUGCUAAGUUAUAGCAUUUUAUAGACAACUUGUUGACUAUGAUUUGUCUUGUAGCUUACUCGCUUAUGUUAUUUUACCUACGCUUAGGAUGUUGAUCUACAGAGCGAGAGU
rnacentral:rRNA from 1 species